CUCCCCAUCAUAAUAGAAAUUUAAUUUCAAAUUUUAAAUUAAACGUAACUUCCACGAUCUUAAUCACUUUUGAUAUGAUUCUUAUCUCUAUCCUCAUAUUCAAAAUUUAACUAAACAUAACUUCCAAAUUCUAUUCCCUUUUUAAAUGGCUUUUAUUCUGAGAUUAUUACGUUGAUACUCAUGAAUUGUCGCUCUUGGAUAUGAGGCUUAUAUUUGCAAUCUCGCUGGAAAAAAAUCCCCAUCCCAUGUGGUCGGUAAUUUUUAUUUUAUUUUCUUUCUCUCGCUCUGAAACAGUACUCUCUUUCACUCGCUUAAAACUACGUUUCCUUUGUUUCCUGUUUGGCUAAGGAGAAAUGUGGAAAAAGAACAGAAAACCAGAGCUCUGUUUGUCAUUCCAACGCAUGGUUGCUAAGAGGACUAUGCUUCUUUAGAAGAAAUUAAAAGAAAUGACAAAAUGUUAGCAGUGACUUUUGAUAGAAGUUAUUUCAUGACUUCACGGCAAAAAUGUAGAACUGAGCAAUGUUAGCUACUGAAUCGUUUUAUUUUUUGGAUAGCAAUCCUUUGAGUCUCUUCAAUCUUCACAUACCAACUUUCUUUUCUCACUUCUCAUUCUCCCUUCUAUAUUUUAUCUACAAUCUAAACCAAUGCAGUUUAUUUGGCUGGUGAGGAUUGAUAUUUGUGACUUCAUCUGUUUGAAGCUCUAAACCAAUGCAAAACAAUGUUGAUAUGGAGCAGGGGACAUUUGAGAUCGACAUGGGUGUAAGUUGUUCAUAAUUUAACACUUAUUUAUAUGGAGGAGGGGACACUGCAGUUUGAUAUUUUUGACUUUGCGUGUUUGAAGCUCUAUUAAUUGUGUGUGACAUAUAGAAACUUUACCCAAGCAUGGGUAGGUUUUUCAUAAAUUACAACUUAUUUCUCUAUUUUUCCAAAUCAACGAUUUGUUAUUAUUUUUCUAUGAAAAUAGUACGAUUAUUGAUGUUUUCUUUGUUCUGCACGUUCAAAACCAUAUUGGACUUUUUGGAAUGUUAAAAAGGGUUGUUGGGAAAGGAAAGAAUAGUGUUGAUGGGCUACAAUUGUAAUGUGUUUGAUGUGGAGCAUUUGGAAUGAGGGAAAAGCCUGAACUCUUAAAGGGAUUGAGCUGUUCCUCCAAUAGCUUAAGGUUGUAUCUGUCAAAUUAUUUUUCCAGCUCUCAGCAAGCAGCAUUUGAUUAACCUAUAUCUUUACAGAAUUUCCUCAGAUUUGUAUUUGAUUUUAGUACUUGAUGACAAGUAAAGCCCAAUUUUUUUUCCAAAGAAAACUGUGUGUGAUAUUUGAACAUUGGCAAACCAAGUACUAUAUAUUGCAGAAUAAGAGCACCAACACUUAUCCUUUCUAUAAAAACAACACAAACUUCCCCUCCAUCAAACCAUUUCCAAAAACACCAAGCAGAUGCUGAUGGUAAAUCCUUAUCAACAUCUCUCAUUGUUUACGUUUAUUCAUUUUUAUUUCUAUUUUAUACUUAAAAAUUUUAGAACACAUGCUUUUUCAACAAGAAUCAACGGAUCCUAUCAGGAUUUUCAUACCAGUAAACCAAGCUUUGGCAUCUUCAUCUGCUCCAUCAAUGACUUAGUAGCCGAAGACGUUAGAGAGAAGAAGCACUGACAUGGUCAUGCAAACCUUUCUUUCACACUUCAAAUUAGAGAAAAAUCCUUCCCAUCAAAAAGUAAUAAUUUUUCUUAUUAAAUUUCAAGCCUAAAAUAGGCAUUCUUAAUAAAUAUAUUUCCUUCUUUUAUCUAUUUGUGAUAUUUGGAUUACACAAUUGUAUGUUGUUUGAAGUGACAUGAUUAUACGGCUUUUUUUUUUAUUUCAUUUUAUAGGAUUAAACCAAUUUUGAUCUUAUUGUUUCCCUUUA